rnacentral:miRNA from 1 species
AACCUCACCAACUGGAAGGGGUUCCUUCCGGUUGAUGAGGUAUAACAACCUCAUUGACUGGAAGGGAUUCCUUCCUGUUGAUGAGGCU